AUGUUCACCUCGUAUUUAUGGAAUGUUCACCAUGACUCGGACUGGGUCUGGAUAUUAUCUUCUUCUCAACACAGGAAGCAGACGUUCGGCUCAAGCGACUGCUAUACCAUCUCCACCCCAGGGGAAAAUUCGGGUGGAGGCGGCGGUAGAGACAUAAGCAAGAGUGUAUCACCUUCUCCGUCCCGGUGUCGAACCCAGGCGGCUAAGGAAUGCUGCACCAAAUCUGUCAUGGCGGCCAACAGCUGGUGGAGGCAUCUUCUUCAUAUGAACAAAUUUCAACUAUUAGACGCCAUUGAUUAA
rnacentral:rRNA from 1 species